rnacentral:rRNA from 1 species
GCUUGUCUCAAAGAUUAAGCCAUGCAUGUCUAAGUAUAAGCUAUUUAUACGAGUGAAACUGCGAAUGGCUCAUUAUAUCAGUUAUAGUUUAUUUGAUGGUACUUACUACAUGGAUAACCGUAGUAAUUCUAGAGCUAAUACAUGCAUCAAACCCCGACUUCUGGAAGGGGUGUAUUAUUAGAUUGAAACCAAUGCGGGGCAACCCGGAUUCUGGUGAUUCAUAAUAAUUAUCGGAUCGAUCGUAUGAUCGAUGCAUCAUUCAAGUUUCUGCCCUAUCAGCUUUGGAUGGUAGGGUAUUGGCCUACCAUGGCAUUAACGGGUAACGGAGAAUUAGGGUUCGAUUCCGGAGAGGGAGCCUGAGAAAUGGCUACCACAUCCAAGGAAGGCAGCAGG